UUUGUUGACAAAAUUUUACCAUAAUUUGAAAUUCCCUCUCAAAUUGGGGAUUCCCAAAAUUUUGCCCUAACCCUUCUACGUUUCUCAUCUCAAUCUCACACACAACUCCUUCCUCUCAUUCCUCCUCCCUCACGGACGAUUUUGGGUAAAUCCAAAGUCGCCACCGCCGACUAUUACAUGCUCACCAGGUGUGACUGCUACUGUUUUGGAGUUUUGAAGACCAUUAGAGCCUCAUGGUUUUCAUGGAUGAAGAGAAAUGGUGUGCAAGAAGAUCAUAGAUUAUGAAUAGGAAAGGUUGUUGAAGGACCUUAUCCCAAAAAAGGUUGUUGAAGCAGCAUUAGAAGAAGCUUGACGACAUCAAAUUGGGCAUUAAAUAAGCACAAGGUGCAUGUGAUUUCUUAGAUUUGCAAAUGUAAUUUUGCAUGAGUACCAUGUCUUUGCAAAUUAAUUUCAUGGCUCCUCAAUGAUGAGCUUCUGGAAUGGGUUGUGAUUCUUGGCAAUAGUUUCCCAAUAACCAGUUGUAUUGUAUUGACAAUGUUUAUGAUUCGUUCAAAAUGAGUUUUGACCCUUCUUUUUUUC